rnacentral:rRNA from 1 species
AUAUUUGACAAUGGGGGAAACCCUGAUCCAGCCAUCCCGCGUGUGCGAUGAAGGCCUUCGGGUAGUAACGCACUUUUGGCAGGGAAGAAAAGGUUCUGGCUAAUAAUCAGAACUGCUGACGGUACCUGCAGAAUAAGCACCGGCUAACUACGUGCCGUCAGCCGCGGUAAUACGUAGGGUGCAAGCGUUAAUCGGAAUUACUGGGCGUAAAGAGUGCGCAGGCGGUUUGGCAAGAAGGAUGUGAAAUCCCGGGGCUUAACCUCGGAACUGCAUUCUUAACUGCCAGGCUAGAGUAUGUCAGAGGGGGGUAGAAUUCCACGUGUAGCAGUGAAAUGCGUAGAGAUGUGGAGGAAUACCGAUGGCGAAGGCAGCCCCCUGGGAUAAUACUGACGCUCAUGCACGAAAGCGUGGGGAGCAAACA